UAGGCUAUCAUAUGUUGAUAAAAGACCAAUACCAAUAAGAUUUAAAUUUUGAAAGAGACUAACUUUAUUGCACCAAAUGAACAUGUAUAACCGGAUAUGUCCAAUUUGGGAACAGAAAUUAAAUUCCGUCUAAAAGACGGUACAACAAAAGUCUCAUCCAAAUCUAAAUAAAAACCGGUCUGAAACAACAGCCUAAAUUUUCCAAUAGCCUCAACUGGCACCGUCUUGCCGUCACCAACAUAGAUGUAUCUUUCACCAUCAUUUGGUUUU
rnacentral:lncRNA from 1 species